UCUAAGCAAAGCCUUUCUUAAAACAAGGCAGAAUAUCGAUUGUGGGACAACACCCCACCCCUCUACAAAAGCUUUGCACCCUAGAUUACAGCAGCCUUCCAAUCUAAAAGAAUGGAAGAAAGACUGUAAUCUUUGAAUGCCUUUGAAACAGAAGCCCAGAGAGCUGCCGUAUAAUCUACUCUCUCCAUAGCUCCUCCACCCCUACUCCCCAGUAGCCUUCAAAGAUUAUUUUGUUUCUUUCCAUCCACAGCACCCAAAUGACACCUAGUUCACUUCAUCCCCAGAAAACCUUGGCUUUCUUCUCCCUUAAAUAAAUUCUUCCAGAGACUAUUAGAGGUAUUAGUCAUCCACAUUAUGCGAUGGGAUCCAAAUUCAAAUCCCCUUUCUUUUAACCUUGGCUUUCUUCUUGGCCCGCCGCUGCCCCGAAAGCUGGAUCGAAGACACCCAGACGAGCGAAACCGACCCGGCCGGAAAACGUCGACGCCGGCGUUGCACGGGCCGAUCCUUCCCAUUUUCGUGAUCUCCUCUUCCCCCUGAUCAUCCCCAUAUAAGUCUUUCAUCACGAUUUUGAGUGUAGAACACUAGAUCAAGGUUUGACUUUUACGACGUCCCUGAUUUAAUAUGAAAUCUGAUCGGACGCACAGGAAUAAUCCGACUUCCAAGCUUGAUCUAGAACGAUCUAGGCCAAACCAGACUUAGCUCCAGGUGAUCGAUGGAUUGAUUUGGUGGACGAUUCGGAUUGAUAUAAUUGGCUUUUUAGAAGACGCAGCUGGAUUAGAGCGGGUAAUCUCACAGGUCAGGAGAAUCAGAGCAGUGAUCGUGCGGUUUAGAGUAUUAGUAUUAGAUUUACAGCAUUUGUUUUGUGAGGAGAAUUAUACUCAUUUGAGUUUUACUAUUUGAUUUGGUGAGAGUGUGCUGUAAUAAGUAGCUUGAGGAUUUGGUUUAUGUAAUAUCAAGAGGUGUAACUAGUGGUUGUUUCUGAGAGAAAAAUUCAGAACGUUAUUUGUAUUGUUAUUAGUCAUGUUCCGGAUUUGAAUCCUUUAUUCAAAAUUCGGGGUGUG